UACGUAGGCAGCGAGCGUUGUUCGGAGUUACUGGGCGUAAAGGGUGUGUAGGCGGUUGUUUAAGUUUGGUGUGAAAUCUCCCGGCUCAACUGGGAGGUGCGCCGAAUACUGAAUGACUUGGAGUGUGGGAGAGGUGAGUGGAAUUCCUGGUGUAGCGGUGAAAUGCGUAGAUAUCAGGAGGAACACCGGUGGUGUAGACGGCUUCUGGACCGACACUGACGCUGAGACACGAAAGCGUGGGUAGCAAACAGG
rnacentral:rRNA from 1 species